rnacentral:rRNA from 1 species
GACGAACGCUGGCGGCGUGCCUAAUACAUGCAAGUUGAGCGCUGAAGGUUGGUACUUGUACCAACUGGAUGAGCAGCGAACGGGUGAGUAACGCGUGGGUAAUCUGCCUUUGAGCGGGGGACAACAUUUGGAAACGAAUGCUAAUACCGCAUAAAAACUUUAAACACAAGUUUUAAGUUUGAAAGAUGCAAUUGCAUCACUCAAAGAUGAUCCCGCGUUGUAUUAGCUAGUUGGUGAGGUAAAGGCUCACCAAGGCGAUGAUACAUAGCCGACCUGAGAGGGUGAUCGGCCAAAAUGGGAAUGAGACACGGCCCAAACACCUACGGGAGGGAGCAGUAGGGAAACUUCGGAAAAGGAGGAAAGUAUGACCGAGCAACGCCGGGUGAGUGAAGAAGGGUUUCGGAUCGUAAAACUCUGUUGGUAGAGAAGAACGGUGGUGAGAGUGGAAAGCUCAUCAAGUGACGGUAACUACCCAGAAAGGGACGGCUAACUACGUG